GUUAAUGUAGAAGAACAAGAAUUAUAAUGAUUCCCAACAGACCACCCACUUAGCUACCCUUAGCUGUGAGCAGUAGGAAAGCUAUGGUGGAUGCAUCCUAGUAGAGGUUUACCAAAACAGAAAAGAAGCUAGAUGAAGGAUAACUCAGGAGAAGAACACGUGCUGUGAGCAGCAGAAGAACAGGCAGGACAGUGGUAUCAUGGAAAGAUGCUGAAGACAGGAUGCAUCUCAGCUAACAUUAAACAUUUAGUCAUCUAGGCUGUCUGUGUGGUCAGAAGAGUGUGGCACUCUGAAGGCAUGAUUCAUGACCUAUUUUUGGCACUAACCUACCUGGGAUGAAUUAAAUUACACUUCACAAAUGCAAGUUCCUCCUACUGAUUCUGAAGGAAACUUGGGACCUGUAGCACGGGUACAAACAUCUGUAUUUUAGAUGUGUGAAGGGAAGUGAGGCAAAUCCUCCUUUGCACGCAGAGAGAAGGAAAGCAUUGCCACAAGAUGUCCUCUGAACCUGAGUCAGCAUCCAGUCACCAUCCACUCUUGUCUCUGGGAGAGGCAAGGAAGGAGGAAGACAGUGGACUGCCUGUUGCUGGAGAAGAUACUGAAGAAGCACCAAAAAGGACUGAUGGGGAAUCCAUGAUGGGCCAGGAUGCCUGAUCAGAUCUUCUUGUGUGCUAAUUACAAAUCAACACGGUGCUCUAUUAGAUAUGCUUCUUUUCACUGAGCAGACCAACCGCUUCAGAGACCAGGCAGACUCAUGUCUGUGUAGUGGCAACUUCCACUUGUAACAACAGCAGUGGCUUUGGCACAGCUAUCUGAGAUUUCAUGGGAGAAUUUAAUUAAAAAA
ensembl:lncRNA